UAUAGGAUCAGGGUUCUUGCAGUGUCAGGGAUUUAAGACUUUUUAACUCCCCCUCCCCCGCCUUUUUUCCUUGCUUGUCUGAACAGCUCUGGGCUCCCCCGGCAUCACUUCAGUGCAAGGACCCGUCUGACACUACUUAUGCCAGGUCCUGCCUCCCUCACAGGAGAAGCAGUCUGCAACUUUUGCUGCUCUAGACAACACUUCAUCUCCGAGAGGCAGAGCUCUGCAGAGCGGAUCUGGGGAGCAGUGACCAGGCAUCAAAACUCUGUCCAGCCUGUCUGAAGCAACCUUUUCCCAGAAACAAGGUUCCUUUACACUGAUGACAAGAGAAGGCRUUGUGCUAGGUGCUCUUCAGACCAGUGAGACUGGAUGUACUUUGAAGAGCUUGCAAUCAAAGUUAAGAUGUGGCUGCUGUUGGACAACUCUGAUCUUCUCUGGGGGGAAGAGGAAAAAGGUAAUGAAAGCUUUGCUAAAUGCUGUUAUUGGGAGGGGAAGAACAGGAUUUACUAGCAUAUAG
rnacentral:lncRNA from 1 species